UGGGGAAUAUUGGGUAAUGGGCGAAAGCCUGACCCAGCAACGCCGCGUGAGGGAAGAAGGGUUUCGGCUCGUAAACCUCUGUCCUAUGGGACGAAGGAAGUGACGGUACCAUAGGAGGAAGCCCCGGCUAACUACGUGCCAGCAGCCGCGGUAAUACGUAGGGGGCGAGCGUUGUCCGGAAUGAUUGGGCGUAAAGGGCGCGUAGGCGGCCUGUUAAGUCUGGAGUGAAAGUCCUGCUUUCAAGGUGGGAAUUGCUUUGGAUACUGAUGGGCUGGAGUGCAGGAGAGGAAAGCGGAAUUACCGGUGUAGCGGUGAAAUGCGUAGAGAUCGGUAGGAACACCAGUGGCGAAGGCGGCUUUCUGGACUGAAACUGACGCUGAGGCGCGAAAGCGUGGGGAGCAAACAGGAUUAGAUACC
rnacentral:rRNA from 1 species